rnacentral:ncRNA from 1 species
GAUGGAAUAAUGUAAGUAAGGGAAGUCGGCAAAUUACAUCCAUAAUUUCGGGAAAGGGAUUAGCUCCAGUGACUGAAUCGGUUGGUCUGUUAAUUGAUGCUUGUGCAGUUUUCGGCCGUAGCCAGCAAAUGUGCGUGUGAAGUGCGCCGAAGCUGGAUUACUGAUAUGACCACCUCAUGGACAUUUACAGGUGUGUGCUUUGCCUUCGGACUUAGUAUCCUGAUCGACCAUCAAAACGGUCGAACUGGAACUGGUACGGACUCGGGGAAUCCGACUGUCUAAUUAAAACAGAGGAGACAGAUGGUCGUUGCAGACGCCUACUGUCUCUGAUUUCUGCCCAGUGCUCUGAAUGUUAAAUCGUAGCAAUUCGAGUAAGCGUUGGUAAACGGCGAAAGUAACUAUGACUCCCUUAAGGUAACCGAAUGCCUCAUCAGCUAACUACUGACGAGCAUGAAUGGAUUAACGAGAUUCUCACUGACCCUAACUACUAUCUAGCGAAACCACAGCCAUGAGAACGAGAUUGGCAAAAUGGUGGGGAAAGAAGAUCCUGUUGAGCUUGACUCUAGUUUGGUAUUGUGAAGAAUCAUGAGAAGUGUAGCAUAGGUAGGAGAUCGUAUUCGCGUGUGAUCGUCAAUGAAGUACCACCAAUUUCAUCGAUUCCUUACUUAUUCGGUGAAAAGAGAAUUGAGUUUUACGACUCUCUAUGCUGAAAAUGCUGAAAAUCAAUUUCACAAUUUAGCGGUUGUCUGUGGAUUUUGGGGUGCCGCUUGCGCGUUUCGAUUCAUUAAGGUCUAAACGCUGCUGAUUCCGAUGCUCCGAGAUACGAUUUAAUAUAUUCUAAACAAUUUACACCAUAAUGGAUCCUAGAAAUGCUUAUUUACGUCAGAAUCAGCUUCAGACCUUAAUGGAUCGAAACACGCAAGCAAUACCCAAAAUCAACGGAACAUCGUAAUAUUGUGAGACUGAUUUUCAGCACUCCUAGGAACUAUAAAGGUAGUUUUGAGACGCAUAAAUUCGAAAUUGUUCAGAAUAUAAUGAAACGGAUCUAGACUCGUCAGAAUCAGUUUCAGACCUUAAUGGAUCGAAACACGCAAGCAAUACCCAUGCGUUAAAGUAAAGUCACAUUGUGGCAGUAUGACUCUCGUCGAUGACAUUGUCAGGCGGGAGUUUGACUGGGGAGGCACAUCUGUCAAACCGUAAGGCAGGUGUCCUAAGGUUAGCUCGGAGAGGACGAAAACCUCUCGCAGAGCAAAAGGGCAAAAGCUCGCUUGAUCUUGACCUUCAGUACGACUACAGACUGCGAAAGCGUGGCCUAUCGAUCUUUUUAAUCCAGAGAGUUUCUGGUAAGAGGUGUCAGAAAAGUUACCACAGGGAUAACUGGCUUGUGGCAGCCAAGCAUCCAUAGCGACGUUGCUUUUUAUCCUUCGAUGUCGUCCUAUCAUUGCGAAGCAGAAUUCGCCAACCGUUGGAUUGUUCACCCACUACUAUGGAGCGUGAGCUUGGUUUAGACCGUCAUGAGACAGGUUAAUUUUACCCUGCUAUUAACAUAUUGUUGCUAUAGUAAUCCUGCUUACUACGAAAGGAAUAGCAGGUUCAGACAUUUCGUUCAUGGACUUGGCUGAUCGGUUAGUGAUUCGAAGCUAGCAUCUGGAGAUUAUGACCGAACGCCUCUAAGUCAGAAUCCCACCUAGUCAAGGUGACGAUUACUUUGUUCCUCGGUGUCGGGAGGCAACCAUAUCUCAUGAUAAUUCAAUGUUUUUCAUCAAUAAGCAGACACGAGGUUGUUAAUAUAGAAUUUAUUAAAACACAAUUGCUGACGUUUCGGGGGUUUCGCCUUCUUCAGAGCCUGGAAAGGU